GAUGAACGCUGGCGGCGUGCUUAACACAUGCAAGUCGAACGAAGCACUUUAUUUGAUUUCCUUCGGGACUGAUUAUUUUGUGACUGAGUGGCGGACGGGUGAGUAACGCGUGGGUAACCUGCCUUGUACAGGGGGAUAACAGUUGGAAACGGCUGCUAAUACCGCAUAAGCGCACGGCAUCGCAUGAUGCAGUGUGAAAAACUCCGGUGGUAUAAGAUGGACCCGCGUUGGAUUAGCUAGUUGGUGAGGUAACGGCCCACCAAGGCGACGAUCCAUAGCCGACCUGAGAGGGUGACCGGCCACAUUGGGACUGAGACACGGCCCAAACUCCUACGGGAGGCAGCAGUGGGGAAUAUUGCACAAUGGGCGAAAGCCUGAUGCAGCGACGCCGCGUGAGCGAAGAAGUAUUUCGGUAUGUAAAGCUCUAUCAGCAGGGAAGAUAAUGACGGUACCUGACUAAGAAGCCCCGGCUAACUACGUGCCAGCAGCCGCGGUAAUACGUAGGGGGCAAGCGUUAUCCGGAUUUACUGGGUGUAAAGGGAGCGUAGACGGUGUGGCAAGUCUGAUGCGAAAGGCAUGGGCUCAACCUGUGGACUGCAUUGGA
rnacentral:rRNA from 1 species